rnacentral:lncRNA from 1 species
GCGAACUCAACUCCUCUCAGGCUCCUGCCUCAACCCCACGGGGAACAUGGACCAGAUACAGAAGAGGAGACCUACCUGAUGAAGCACAUGUCCAAACACACAGUGGUGGAACACCUGGUGAGCCAUCACUCACCCCAGAGGACCGAGUCCCCCGGCAUCCCGGUGCGAAUCUCUCUGAUCUGAGCCCACCUGUGGUGCCGCCCCGCCCACUUGGCAGCACCCAGCCUAACUCCCGCUGGGGCCUCCAGGAACCACCAAGCUCUCUCACGACCUACCCAACCUGCCAGAAAGCUUGGUCCAUAGAAGCCCUGCCUGAUCCGGCUCCUGGGCAGCCAGGCCAACUGCAAGAUUCUGGGCUGUUCUGGUGGCAUCCAAAGACGA